rnacentral:rRNA from 1 species
UACGGAGGGUGCAAGCGUUAUCCGGAAUCAUUGGGUUUAAAGGGUCCGCAGACGGGAAGAUAAGUCAGUGGUGAAAUCUCACAGCUCAACUGUGAAACUGCCAUUGAUACUGUCUUUCUUGAAUUCGAUCGAAGUGGGCGGAAUGUGACAUGUAGCGGUGAAAUGCUUAGAUAUGUCACAGAACACCGAUAGCGAAGGCAGCUCACUAGGUCUGGAUUGACGCUCAGGGACGAAAGCGUGGGGAGCAAACAGG